GAUGAACGCUGGCGGCGUGCCUAAUACAUGCAAGUCGAACGAAACUUCUUUAUCACCGAGUGCUUGCACUCACCGAUACAGAGUUGAGUGGCGAACGGGUGAGUAACACGUGGGCAACCUGCCCAAAAGAGGGGGAUAACACUUGGAAACAGGUGCUAAUACCGCAUAACCAUAGUUACCGCAUGGUAACUAUGUAAAAGGUGGCUAUACUACCGCUUUUGGAUGGGCCCGCGGCGCAUUAGCUAGUUGGUAGGGUAAAGGCUUACCAAGGCAAUGAUGCGUAGCCGAAUUGAGAGGUUGAUCGGCCACAUUGGGACUGAGACACGGCCCAAACUCCUACGGGAGGCAGCAGUAGGGAAUCUUCCACAAUGGGCGAAAGCCUGGUGGAGCAACGCCGCGUGGGUGAAGAAGGUCUUCGGAUCGUAAAACCCUGUUGUUAGAGAAGAAAGUGCGUGAGAGUAACUGUUCACGUUUCGACGGUAUCUAACCAGAAAGCCACUGCUAACUACGUG
rnacentral:rRNA from 1 species